rnacentral:rRNA from 1 species
GACGGAGGGUGCUAGCGUUGUUCGGAAUUACUGGGCGUAAAGGGCGCUUAGGCGGCCCUGUCAGUCGGGUGUGAAAGCCCGGGGCUCAACCCCGGAACGGCACCCGAGACGGCAGGGCUGGAGACCGGGAGAGGAGGGUGGAAUAGCCAGUGUAGAGGUGAAAUUCGUAGAUAUUGGCUGGAACACCGGUGGCGAAAGCGGCUCUCUGGCCCGGUUCUGACGCUGAGGCGCGAAAGCGUGGGGAGCAAACAGG